rnacentral:misc_RNA from 1 species
AAAAGUGCCAAUAUUCUGUCUUUUUUAAUCCUAUUUUCCGAUGCUUAUGGCUCAAAGAGAGUUGUUCUAAAGUCCAUAUUGUUCUGUUAAUUUCAACAUUGAAUUGCAGAGUAGCAGUUAUGGGGGCCUCAGAAUCCACUGUCUCGAGUUCGCAGCAGGCACUGGCCGAUGAGAUCACCACCGUUUCCGAGCGAUCGCAAGGCGUCGAUCCCAUUUUGGAAAGGCUUAAAUCCCUUCAAAUUUCAAGGCCAAUUCUGACGUCGCCUCCGACGGAGGAGGGCAGCUUGACUGACAUUUUGAUCAGGAAGCCGUCAUCUUCAUCAGCUCAUGGUAAGUCCCAGUCAAGCACUCGUCUUUCUCUUUUUCUGAGUUUGAAUUUAGGGUUUGAAAUGAGGAUUUUUUUUUUUUUUUUAUCCUGCUGCUCCCAUUCUCUUAUGUUUCAUCUCGAUUGACUUUGCUCGCUUUCCAAUCGUGUACCAGAAGUAGAAUUGCAACAAGAACAUCAAACAAAUUUUUAUUGUUGUUCCAGUGUGCUUAGGAAUAAUUUUAGGCUAUAGCAUGUGUUACGGAAUUGACAUAAAUGUAAAUAAAGCGUCAGUUUAACAUGGUUUUGAUUAUUAAUUUUAAGUCAUUUGUUUAAGGGUUUCAUUUUGCACCUAUGAAAUGAAACUGCUUUUCUUUUAACCAGUUAUUUCUUUGUUUACAGCUUAUGCACUGUGAUUGCUGCCACUACUAGGAUUUAAAACUAGGGGGCAACUGUAGUGUAAUAAUGGGAGUGGUAACUCUCUUUUGCGCUCAUGUUAACCAAGAACUUUAAAAAGUUCAUUUCAGUUCUGUCUCUCUUUAUAACACUUCCUGGUCUAAAAGCUAGGUACAUUUCAUAUUGGAGGAAUACAGAGAGUUAAUAAUGAAUCAUGCGCAUCGGAAGAAAAUCACUGAUCAUUAUACUUUUUUCAUCUAGUAUUUUUCCUUUCCUUUGAGUAAAAUUAAUGUUCCAGAAAGUUGAAUGAGUUGAAUGAUGGCUGUUUAAUUUGGUUUUCAUUUCAGUAUACAGUCUUAGUUCUUAUAUUGUUAUAUUAGUUAUUCAUUUAAAGUUUGUUGCUUUAUGUUUUUCAUCUCCUUUUAAAAGAAAACUUAUUUUUAUUGGCUGAUUUUUCUAUGUUCUUUACCUUUACUUUUCUUGUUUUAUUCUAAUUUUUCGAUGUGCUUUAUUCGUAAUGGUCAAUGUAGCUACUGUGAAUCCAAAGGUGCUACUGGAGCUCUUCUCAAUGUAUCGUGAAUGGCAGGACGAGAAGGCCCAACAGAUUAGCAAGAAACAGGUUUACCAUUUCUGUCAUAAAUGGAUAAAUGAUGUUUGCUGGAGAACAGUUUGUUAAUGGUAGUAAUGUUUUAUGCUUUGAAGAGGCAUGGGAUGGAUCAGAAGAUUGGGGGGCCUGUAUUAAUUCAUGUUCAACUUAAGAUCUGGAUUGGAUUCUGACACUAGGAUACACUUGCCUUGUGAACAUGGACAUUGAACUUAAGUCUAUUCUAAGGCAAGAAGAACUUAGAUAUGAACCAAGAUCACUUAUAAGAGCUUUUUAAAUUGGCUUCGCAACUAUUCAACUCUUACAUUUUGGUUGUAUUGAUGACCAAAUGAGACAAGUAAUAAGAUAUUGUGAUAGUGUCAGUAGGAUAAAAAUGUGUAGCGUCAGUUGCUCUUUAUAUCUAGUUAACAAAUAACAGUGUUCUGGUUUGGCUUCAACUACAUUCACACCUCAUUAGCUUGAUUCUUACAUAUAUCAAGAUCUGUUCCAUGGAGGACCUGAUUCAAGUGACAUAAGUUUGAGAAGCUUAUGAUUCAACCACCUAAACUUUUUUCCCUUUCUAUGAGUAGAUAUUAUAGUGCAAUAACAGGGUUAGUAUCUGCUGGAAAGAAGCUACUCACAAUAUCUGCUGGAAAGAAGCUACUUACAAACUGAAACAGUAAUCUAUUUUUGCAGUUAGCACAUGAAAAUUGGAAAGUCUAUGUUUGGAAAUCCUUUUAGUGGGUUGUUUUAUUUUGAAUUGGUAAUAGUUAUCAAGCAAUGCAAAAUUUUUGGCUAAUUAAUACUUUAGGAACUAGUAAUUAGGGUAUGUGCAAUAUAAUCUGCUGAAAACAUUGCAGGAAGAGAUUGAAAAUAAGAUAGAAGUUGCGGAUGCUUUGGCAACCAAACUUCAUCAACGGUUUAAUUACUCAGUGUCAGCAAUGAAGACUACUUCACAACAUCUUUCAGAAGGUAAUUGAUUGUGUAUCAAAUUGUUAUAGAUUAAUAAUAGAUUCUAUCAUCAACAUUCAGAAAAUUUUCCUGUCAACUUGGCUCACCACAGUUUGAUGAAGCCACUCUUGGUUUCACAACUUGUAUUUCACAACUUGUAUCAAGACGUUGUUUGCACUCACUUUGGAAAUGCCUGCAGUUCAUGCACUACAAGUGGAGAUUGGGGAGCUGAAAGGGAGGUUGACUGAGGUUAUCAGCAAUUGUGAUGCAUUGUGCAAAAGAAUUGCUAUGGAGGGGCCACAAUCUCUUCGGUCAUCUGUUAAGCCAUUUGCUGUUGCUACUGGUGACUCAGAUAUCAGCUGUAAACCAGCUUCCCAGUUAUAUCUAAAAAGAUCACCUUCGAACGAAAACAAAUCAGACUAACUUUCACAUUCUAACCCAUUCCAUUUGCUUGUAUAUAGUCAUUCCCUAACCCUUGCUGGUUCACUUUGGAAAUGAAGGAUGUAAAAUCCAUUUCAUUUCAAAUUAUUUUUAUAUAGAAGAAUUGUCACUUUUUAUAUCUUAUGUUUUCAAUAUAUAUUGAAUUCAUUUUAAAUUAUGAAACCAUUGUGAAAAUUUUAUAAAUGCUACAAUUUUUAGAUUUA